GAGAGAGAGAGAGAAGAUCGUAGAGUAAACACCAGUGUUCCUCACCCAUCGUUGACAAAGGUGCACUGAGGGCAUAAAUAUCUGUGGUCAGUGGCAGCUCUAAGAAAAGAGACGAGGUCCAGUCCGCAAAACCAUACUCCAACCUGUCUGCAGCUGUUUCACGUUACCAACACACCACUGUCUUCAUCUGCCUCAGCAUGAAGCUAAUCACUUCCUGUGUGCAGCGUGCAAAUUCACCAAGCGGCAUGAGGUCUGAACGCAACUUUACAGAGUCGUGAGAAGCUGACGAGACUUAAUCAGCCCUGCGUGAACUCAUUUGACUUUUUGUAUGUAAAAAUGAGGCAUGUUAUUAUAUCAAAUGUUAUUAUAUUUUUAUUAAGAUAAUCACAGCAUGGGAGUUUAAGUUGGUUGAUUGUUUUUCCACAAGACAAUGGUCUAGAUCCAUGGUCCUCAGUGGUCACCAGCUUCCUCUGGUGGUACUUGAAGGAAAAUGACUGUUUUACUGUAUU